GAGAUUGGCAUGCAUUAUCUUGCAGACGCGACGUAAGUUAUUCUAUUGGCCCUAUCGAGCUCCUUUUCGUUGUUUCUACCGAUAAUCAUGGGGAUUUAUGCGAAAAUCUUACUGUAAAAAGAAAAUUUUAAGUCCAGAGUCCAGUCCAAAGUCCAGUCUAAAAUCCAGUCCAAAAUCCAGUCCAAAAUCCAGUCCAAAAUCCAGUCCAAAGUCCAGUCCAAAGUCCAGUCCAAAGUCCAGUCCAAACCUAGUCCAGUCCAGUGUUUACAAUAUGCCAUGUAUAGUGUAAUUGAAAUAUUACUGUUCAGUAAUAAUUUGCUUUUACAUUAAUUGCCCGAUUACGAUGUCACAAAAUAACAUUCCACUGUAACCUAAAUCGGAACCAGGGCC